CCCGGCGGAAUGGCCGACUUGGAUUGCAACGAGGACAGUCAGAACGACUUCAGCCAUCACUGCCAAGCCAUCAGAACUUCAAGGCAAGAGAUGCCGCAAACACGUCACAACAGGCAAAGAACCACAGUCGCCGGCAUACUUCAAGUCUUCCGAUCCCCUUGAAGUUAGGGGGAGGACGUGUGGGUUAAGGACGUCAAUUGCCGAGGCAGUAUCCUCAGCCCCGCUCAGUGACCACAGUCAUAUGCGGUGGAAACGCCCAGGGGAACUCUGCAGUGAAACCUUUGGCAUCUAAUCCCCUUCUCAAAAGGCCAGUCAACGGAGGAACUGCCAGCCAGUGAACGAAAUCAAGGACCAAGUUUACAGCAGUCUACGCCUGGUGAGGGUCAACCAGCAUCAUCACCAGAGCCUUAGCAAGAAGGGCUUCGGCUGAGACGCACACGUUGCGGUCGUGUGUUUGGACCGCCAAGGCGACUGACUUAUAGAUCCUAAGGGGAGAUGUAGUGGGCACUACUGAGGUGAUGUUAUCUUAUUGCUCGCCAGAGGACACCAUCAUUUAUAGAGCGCUUAUAUAAGGAGCGGCACGUGGAAAUAAAAAGGACUUUCUUUUUUUUUUUGUUGUGG
rnacentral:lncRNA from 1 species